rnacentral:rRNA from 2 species
CCCUACGGGAGGCAGCAGUGCGGAAUUUUCCGCAAUGGGCGAAAGCCUGACGGAGCAAGACCGCGUGGGGGAGGAAGGUUCUUGGAUUGUAAACCCCUUUUCUCAGGGAAGAACACAAUGACGGUACCUGAGGAAUCAGCAUCGGCUAACUCCGUGCCAGCAGCCGCGGUAAUACGGAGGAUGCAAGCGUUAUCCGGAAUAAUUGGGCGUAAAGCGUCCGUAGGUGGCUGUUCAAGUCUGCCGUUAAAGACCGGGGCUUAACCCUGGAAAGGCGGUGGAAACUGAACGGCUAGAGUGCAGUAGGGGUAGAGGGAAUUCCCGGUGUAGCGGUGAAAUGCGUAGAGAUCGGGAAGAACACCGGUGGCGAAAGCGCUCUGCUGGACUGCAACUGACACUCAGGGACGAAAGCUAGGGGAGCGAAUGGGAUUAGAUACCCCAGUAGUCCUAGCCGUAAACGAUGGAUACUAGGUGUGGCUUGUAUCGACCCGGUCCGCGCCGUAGCUAACGCGUUAAGUUCCCGCCUGGAGAGCCCAGGGCCC